GGUUAAUAUUCCCGUACUUCUGACUAUUGCGAUGGGGGGACGGAGAAGGCUAGGUGGGCCAGGCGACGGUUGUCCUGGUUCAAGUGCGUAGGCUUGAGAGUUAGGUAAAUCCGGCUCUCUCUAAGGCUGAGACACGACGUCGAGCUGCUACGGCAGUGAAGUCAUUGAUGCCAUGCUUCCAGGAAAAGCCUCUAAGCUUCAGAUAGUCAGGAAUCGUACCCCAAACCGACACAGGUGGU
rnacentral:rRNA from 1 species